rnacentral:rRNA from 1 species
AAUGAACGUUGGCGGCGUGGAUUAGGCAUGCAAGUCGUGCGCGAAACGUAGCAAUACGUGGAGAGCGGCGAAAGGGAGAGUAAUACAUAGGUACCCACCCCCGGGCCUGGGAUAGCGGCGGGAAACUGCCGGUAAUACCAGAUAACGUCUCCGGACCAAAGGUGUGAUUCCACCUGGGGAAGGGCCUGUGGCCUAUCAGCUAGUUGGUGGGGUAAUGGCCCACCAAGGCAAAGACGGGGAUGGGGCGUGAGAGCGUGCCCCCACUCACUGGGACUGAGACACUGCCCAGAAACCUACGGGUGGCUGCAGUCGAGAAUCUUCGGCAAUGGGCGAAAGCCUGACCGAGCGACGCCGCGUGCGGGAUGAAGGCCUUCGGGUUGUAAACCGCUGUCGUAGGGGAGGAAGGAUCUGCGAAGAGCAGAACUUGACCGAUCCUAGGAGGAAGGGCCGGCUAAUCUCGUGCCAGCCGCCGCGGUAAUAC